GACGAACGCUGGCGGCGUGCCUAAUACGUGCAAGUGGGACGCAAGGAAACACACUGUGCUUGCACACCGUGUUUUCUUGAGUCGCGAACGGGUGAGUAACGCGUAGGUAACCUGCCUAUUAGCGGGGGAUAACUAUUGGAAACGAUAGCUAAUACCGCAUAAUAUUAAUUAUUGCAUGAUAAUUGAUUGAAAGAUGCAAGCGCAUCACUAGUAGAUGGACCUGCGUUGUAUUAGCUAGUUGGUAAGGUAAGAGCUUACCAAGGCGACGAUACAUAGCCGACCUGAGAGGGUGAUCGGCCACACUGGGACUGAGACACGGCCCAGACUCCUACGGGAGGCAGCAGUAGGGAAUCUUCGGCAAUGGACGAAAGUCUGACCGAGCAACGCCGCGUGAGUGAAGAAGGUUUUCGGAUCGUAAAGCUCUGUUGUAAGUCAAGAACGUGUGUGAGAGUGGAAAGUUCACACAGUGACGGAGCUACCAGAGAGGAC
rnacentral:rRNA from 1 species